rnacentral:rRNA from 1 species
AAUCAACGCUGGCGGCGUGCCUAACACAUGCAAGUCGUACGAGAAAGUGGAGCAAUCCAUGAGUAAAGUGGCGACCGGGUGAGUAACACGUGACUACCUACCUUCUAGUGGGGGAUAACUCCGGGAAACCGGAGCUAAUACCGCAUAACAUCGCAAGUUCAAAGCAGCAAUGCGCUGGAAGAGGGGGUCGCGGCUGAUUAGCUAGUUGGUAGGGUAAUGGCCUACCAAGGCAAAGAUCGGUAUCCGGCCUGAGAGGGCGCACGGACACACUGGAACUGAAACACGGUCCAGACUCCUACGGGAGGCAGCAGUGGGGAAUUUUGCGCAAUGGGGGAAACCCUGACGCAGCAACGCCGCGUGGAGGAUGAAGUCCCUUGGGACGUAAACUCCUUUCGACCAAGACGAUUAUGACGGUACUGGUGGAAGAAGCACCGGCUAACUCUGUGCCAGCCGCCGCAGUAACAC